AUGUACAGCUUUUUUCUUGAGGAGAACUACAACUCCCAAGAGACCGCUCGGCGCCGCCGCACCGCCUCCCUCUGUGGCCCUGCCCUGUCCCCUCCCUCCAGUCCCGCCCCCCCGCUAGUCCCCUCCCCUCCCUCCGAGCGUGGGUCAGAGACCCAGAGGCGGUGGAACCGUCGGGGGGCGCCGCCGCCGCCGCCGCCUCCAGCAGCAGCACCAGCCUCGCCGCGCGUUCGGAUUUGCCUCGAGCCCUCCUGGAGCGCAUCACAAGGCGGAUCCCGCGUCUCUUCCUCCGCCCGCGGCUUCUCCAGCGUUCGGCUCCGCGGCCAACUUCCCCUCGUUGGGCUCGGCCGGCUGGCGAACAAGGCGGCGGCGGAACGCCGGGCUGUCUGCUCGCGCUGCCCGCGCACGCACACUUCUCCCCCCUCGCUCCGUGUCUCGGGGCCGUGCUGGGAAUUCCGGCCACCAGCAAUUGUCCGGAAAGUCAGGAACUCUAUGGGAGCCCUCUUUGGAACCAACCUAUGGCAGAUAAAGUUAAUAGUGAAGAAAGCUGAGCGCCGAAGAAUGGAUGCUUUUGAACUGUGGUGUUG
rnacentral:lncRNA from 1 species